AGGACUGAGGGAUAUGCUUAGAAUGAAAGAUAUACUAGAAAAAAACAACCAAUCAAGACAGAAGAUAAUAGGUAUUUCUUUAACGUUCCUGCAUAGCUCACCGGUGUCUUUUCAAGGUAGCGUCCGUUAAAAGUUACGUCCUUCAAUCUUUCUUGAUU
rfam:Listeria monocytogenes EGD-e, complete genome